ensembl:lncRNA
UUCCCUCUCUCAUUCCACAGGAGCAGGAGUAGUCCCAGGGAGUCUUGGGCAGUUUUCCACCAUCUCUAUCCUUGUGGAGAAUCACAACACAUGUGCAAAGAUGAUGUGUGAAUUCAUGAGGCACUCCAUGGCAUCUGUGGACAUGUGUGUCAAGGCAACCAAUUGCAGGAGUUGCAUGUUGUGAGAUACAGAUACAAUGCAUUCCCUUGAGGCACAGAGUACAAAACCAAUGGGUUUGCUCUGAAUGCAUCAGUCCAGAGAGAUGUCUAGAGGAGAAUGAAGGCAGGGAGUUGUGAACAUCUGAAGCUGCUGUCUUCAGGUGGCCUUUGGGUCCACAGAGCUGGAACAGCGCGUUCAUGGUAAAUGGACCUGACCUACCUCUUAAUGAAAUCUCCUUUUUACACGAUGAAGACAGCAGCUUGGAAAAACAGAAAAAGAAAAAGGUGGCUUUCUUCUUCAUGUGUAAAUUUUCUGUAAGGAAAAUAAAACUUGAAAUUAACCUUGUCUGUGAUUUAAACUAUGUGUAUAGUUUAUUAUUUACCCCCAAUUAUUUUCUUAAUGGCUGGGCUUCCAUAGUUUAGUAAGUAGCUGCACUUAAAAGGACCCUCUAAGAGAGGUGUUUGGAUUUUUUAACCAAUUAUGAUCCAUUUCUGCAGAUUAAAUAAUGCUUCUGAAAACAUGAUGCAAGGCCUCAGAAUAUUGUCCAUUGAUACCUGCAAACUAAGUCCAGUGAACUCCUUAUUCAAUACCUUUUUGACUUUGUAGUUACUGCAGUCUGUUUUAUUAUUGUGAUGAAUUUGCUCAUACGUAAAAAUAACAGGCAUUAUAUGGCUCUCUCUAUAUAUAAAAUACAUACAUAAUGUUUUCUUUUUCAGGGAGUUUAAAGACACAUGACUUCGAUGUUACUGAAGAUUGUGUCACAAUCAUCAAAUGGAGCUGGUGCCAAAUAAACCAGAUGGAGCUUUCA